AGGUCACCUCAAAGAGGGCUCAUGGGGCUGUGAAGCCAAGAGUUGUAACACUGACCAAAGACUGGAGUUCUCACUGGAUGCCAGUCACUCAACAGUGCCAUUUUCCUGAGGAAAUGGGAGA
ensembl:snoRNA